rnacentral:rRNA from 1 species
UUCGCAAUGCCCGAAAGGGUGACGAAGCGACGCCGCGUGGGUGAGGAAGGCCUUCGGGUUGUAAAGCCCUGUCAGGAGUUAAGAAAUGUAAGUGCGCUAAUAUCGCAUUUAUUUGACAAAGGCUCCAAAGGAAGCCACAGCUAACUCUGUGCCAGCAGCCGCGGUAAUACAGAGGUGGCAAGCGUUGUUCGGAUUCAUUGGGUGUAAAGGGCAGGUAGGUGGCUAUGUAAGUCCGUUGUGAAAUCCCAGGGCUCAACCCUGGAACUGCGAUAGAAACUACUAUGCUUGAGUGUGAGAGGGGAGAGUGGAACUUCCAGUGGAGCGGCGAAAUGCGUAGAUAUUGGAAGGAACGCCAGCGGCGAAAGCGACUCUCUGGCUCAUUACUGACGCUGAGGAGCGAAAGCUAGGGUAGCGAACGGGAUUAAACACCCCGGUAGUCCUAGCUGUAAACGAUGGGCACUAAGUAGAGGGGUUUU